rnacentral:lncRNA from 1 species
UGACUGUUGGAAAGGUAGUUCAGUAGUUAAAAUGGAUGAAUAGUUAGGAAAAGUAGUUUUCAUUAGAGAUGUAGCAGUUGGUAUCUCGUGGUAGGAUAAGGAGGAUGAGAGAGACGAAGAAACGGCCAUUACUAUGAUAGUGUGAGCCGGAGUAAGCUUGGUGCUACCUCUUUUCUUUUGUUGUUAUGUUCUUUGAAAUAAGAGUAUUGAGAGUUUCUGAAUAUUGUGAAGUGAAUCAUAGAAUGAAAGUGUGAUUGGAAUUAUAUGUUAUUGAAUGAGAAGAAGAGAGAUUGAAUGCUGAAAUCUGAAUGUAGUUUAGCAGAAAGAGUGAAUCUGUGGUUGUGUGAAACACUGUAAUGUGAGUGGUAGUUCUGUGUGAAGAAUUCCAGUAAUUGGAAUGA